UGCAGUCGAACGAGCGAGAGGAGGUUUACUUUCUCAAGCGAGUGGCGAACGGGUGAGUAACGCGUGAGGAACCUGCCUCAAAGAGGGGGACAACAGUUGGAAACGACUGCUAAUACCGCAUAAGCCCACGACCCGGCAUCGGGUAGAGGGAAAAGGAGCAAUCCGCUUUGAGAUGGCCUCGCGUCCGAUUAGCUGGUUGGUGAGGUAACGGCCCACCAAGGCGACGAUCGGUAGCCGGACUGAGAGGUUGAACGGCCACAUUGGGACUGAGACACGGCCCAGACUCCUACGGGAGGCAGCAGUGGGGAAUAUUGCACAAUGGGGGAAACCCUGAUGCAGCGACGCCGCGUGGAGGAAGAAGGUCUUCGGAUUGUAAACUCCUGUUGUUGAGGAAGAUAAUGACGGUACUCAACAAGGAAGUGACGGCUAACUACGUGCCAGCAGCCGCGGUAAAACGUAGGUCACAAGCGUUGUCCGGAAUUACUGGGUGUAAAGGGAGCGCAGGCGGGAAGACAAGUUGGAAGUGAAAUCCAUGGGCUCAACCCAUGAACUGCUUUCAAAACUGUUUUUCUUGAG
rnacentral:rRNA from 1 species